CACGUAGGGUGCGAGCGUUGUCCGGAAUUAUUGGGCGUAAAGAGCUCGUAGGCGGUGUGUCGCGUCGGCCGUGAAAACCUGCAGCUUAACUGUGGGCUUGCGGUCGAUACGGGCAUCACUGGAGUUCGGCAGGGGAGACUGGAAUUCCUGGUGUAGCGGUGAAAUGCGCAGAUAUCAGGAGGGAACACCGGUGGGCGAAGGCGGGUCUCUGGGC
rnacentral:rRNA from 1 species